UUUUUUUUUUAAAUCUGUGAUACUGAGAUUAAUUAUCUUAUGAAUGUCUUUAAAUGCAUUCCUUAUAUUUCCUUAAAAUGGAUUUCCAUUAGAUGGAUCCUGUUCUACAUUUUAAGCUUCUGUUUUGUUAAAUUACCUAUAAAAAGGAAUAUAUCAGUUCAUAUUCUCAGAAGUGAAAUGUUCCGACCACUGUUUGCUGCUCUAGCACGGGAUGAAAACAUUUAUCUGAUAGUUCCACACUCACUGUAAUAAAAUAAUAACACUCCCAGUGAAAGCAUGUGACAUUUUGAUUUGCCUCGUAGGCCUUCUGUGAAGAGCUGGAGUCUAUGAUACAGGAGCAGUUUAAGAAGGGGAAGAACCCUACAGGCCUGUUGGCAUUACAGCAGAUUGCGGAUUUCAUGACGGCGAGUGUGCCCAAUGUCUACCCGGCAGCUCCACAAGGAGGAAUGGCCGCCCUGAACAUGAGUCUUGGUAUGGUUACUCCUGUGAAUGACCUUAGAGGAUCUGAUUCUAUUGCAUAUGACAAGGGGGAGAAGUUACUGCGAUGUAAGCUGGCAGCAUUUUACAGACUAGCAGACCUCUUUGGCUGGUCUCAGCUUAUCUACAAUCACAUCACA
rnacentral:lncRNA from 1 species